UACGUAGGGUGCGAGCGUUGUCCGGAAUUACUGGGCGUAAAGAGCUCGUAGGUGGUUUGUCGCGUUGUCCGUGAAAACUCACAACUCAAUUGUGGGCGUGCGGGCGAUACGGGCAGACUGGAGUACUGCAGGGGAGACUGGAAUUCCUGGUGUAGCGGUGGAAUGCGCAGAUACCAGGAGGAACACCGGUGGCGAAGGCGGUUCUCUGGGCAUUACCUGACGCUGAGGAGCGAAAGUGUGGGGAGCGAACAGG
rnacentral:rRNA from 1 species